rnacentral:lncRNA from 1 species
CUCCAGAUGUUGCCCAGGCCCACGGAGAAGCCGAUCUGGGCCAGGAUGUACUGCAGCUUGCUGUUCCAGGCCGGCCGGUCCUCCGCGUCCAGCUCCUCCUCUGCCGCCUUCUGCUUGCCGCUGGCCUCACCUGCCACGUUCAGGAUGCUCUGCUUGUAGUCCACGGGCUCCUCGAGGGCCAGCAGGUCGGCCACCGACUCCGUGACAUGCUCACUGCUGUGCUCACGCUGGGUCACCUUGCUGUUCUUAGGCAUUGGUGCCGCCUGGGCCACGCAGCCCCGCUCCCUGGCACUCAGAGAAGGUGGGGCUCAGCUGCUGUCAGCUCCUUCUCAUCCAGGGACCUGUGAGACCAGGUGAGCAGGGGAGGAUCAGCUGACCACCCCACAGAGGUGGGGAGCCCGAGCGGACCCAGAUCCGCCAUCACUCCGGGCACAUACUCGGAGGCUGGGCUGUGAGUGGCCUGGAAUGUUGCGUUUGUCUUUCUCCCUGUCAGGGGGUACCCACCGAGGGGCUCAAAGGCUGCAGACUCCGUUUUCUCACAGGCCCUGCCUGAGCAUGCCUGAAAGGUAAACCUAAUGGGGUAGGAGGGGCCAACCCACCCACCAAACCCAAAUAAAGGGGCAUCCAUGAUGCCACUGCCCCCUUUCGUAACCGCAUAUCCUGAAGUGUUCCAGGCCCUUGGGAGGCCCCCACAGCCCUCUCCUCCCAGGUGGUGCAGGUUUGUGGCCAAGUCCUAGCCCUCCUGAGCUCUAGCUAUGUAGCCGAACCAUCUGGUGGGACCCUGGGAAACCAGUGUCUGCCUUCUCUGGGGUCUUUCUGUUCAAAAUACAGCGCAUGGGCCAGCAGCAUCACAGAGAGCUUGUUAGAAAUGCAGAGGGCACCCGGGUGGCUCAGCUGAUUAAGCGUCCGACUCUGGGUUUCUGCCCGGGUUGUGACCUCAUGGUUCGUGGGUUCUAGCCCCGCGCUGGACUCUGUGCUGAUGGUGUGGAACCUGCUUGGGAUUCUCUCUCUCACCCUCCUUCGCUGCCUCUCUCCCUUGCUCUCUCUCUCUCUCUCAAAAAUGAAUAAAAGAAUACUUAAAAAAAAAAAAAGAAAAGAAAUGCAGAAUGCCAGGCCCACCCCAGACCUACCGAACCAUUCUCUGUAUGUUUACAGAACCCUUAGUGAUUAAAAGGGACAUUAAUGCUUGCAAAACAAAAACAGAAAACAAACAACAACAAGAAAACAAUAAAACAUAAACAAAACAAAAAAACCCAAAAGGUUAGAGCUCUCACCAUGGGGACCCUGAACACCAGCCCCACAUCUGGACCUUCAUUCCCCAGGCAGGAGCGCUGACCAGGUUCUGCUAAGGAUUCUGGCACUAAAGCCCUAGAGGUGUUUGCUUAGUGCCAACAAAUGCUGGGUCAUCGCUCAGCACUGACAUUAUCUGAGGGCCACUGCAGCCAAGAGCCAGUUCUCCAUCCUCCGGUGACAGUUUUACAGCAGAUAAUGUCUGCACGAUGCGAUGCGAGCGGGGGAGGCAAACCCUCCCCUGCUCCUGCCAUUCCCCAUCCGUCUCUCAGGCUUUCCCUUAAAGAAAUAAAGCACCAAGGAAAUGAGCCCUUUGAAGGAUAUCAACAUGCUGCUGUGUUUCAAAGCACCUCCUCGUUAAGGGGAGGUUGGAGGAUUUAAAAUUAAACACACGUACACCCCGGCCUGCGGUUGCCCUGUGUCUUUCUAGGGAUGUAAAUUAGCCGGCUCGGUAAUCACUUUACUAAGGGAAGGAGCCGCCUCUGGAAGUCUGUGCUCCUGGUCUGCACCAUCAGAACAGCGCGGGCAAUGGCACCCUGCAGCAGAAGCUUGACCCGGACCUCCUGGCUGACUCCAGUAAAGCCCCAAACUUCAAGGGAACCUGGCCAGCCGGAUCCUGUUACAUGUGUAGUGAAGCUAGGACACCCGACAGAUGGGGACUGUCCACGCUGGUCUGUGUGGUUAGCCAGUCCUCCCUGGGCCAGGCCAUGGACCACAGCAGCAGGUGACAACUCCCUGAAGGGAAACCGUGAGUCUUUGGUGACUCCCCCUUCCACUCCAGGAACGGUCAAGGUGUUGGGCUUUGCAGUGACCCAGACAGAACUAGCCUGCCAAAAAGAGCUCAGAAUUCCCUAUAAGAAACACAGCUCUCCGUUGGGACUCCACUUCACAUUGGGCCAGCCAAACAUUCCACUGUGUCCUGGAGGGAGUGUGUGUCUGGGGACCUUUCAGCCCUCCUCCUCCUGCCCACAUGACCUAAGGGAAUGGUGCCCCUAGGAGUUAUGCAAUGGGGAGGCUUUUGUUCUUGUCUGGACUGUCAGGAUGAGCCCUUUCCCCUUCCCCGGUCAGCAGAUCCCUGUCCCCAGGGCACUCAAAUGGAGAAAACCUAAGCACAGGCAAUGGCAGUUUGAGAGAGAGAGAGAGAGAGAGAGAGAGAGCUAGAGAGGUGCAGAGAGAGAAAGAAUCCCAAGCAGCCUCCACACUGCCAGCAUGGAGCCCGAUGCGGGGCUUGAACUCACAAACCGUGAGAUCAUGACCUGAGCCAAAAUCCAGAGUCAGACACUUAACCCACGGAGCUAUCCAGGUGCCCCUUAAACAAGAGUUGUUAUUAAAAACUAGAACUGGAGGGAGGGUGGGGGGCACCUGGGUGGCUCAGCGGGUUAAGCGUCCAACUCUGGAUUUCAGCUCAGGUCAUAAUCUCAUGGUUUAGGAGUCUGAGCCCACAUCGGGCUCUCUGCUGUCAGCACGGAGCCUGCUUCAGAUCCUCUGUCCCCCUCUCUCUCUCUCUCGACUUGCUGUCUCUCUCUCAAAAAUAAAUAAACACUUAAAAAAAUUAAAAAGUAAAAACUAGAACUGGGGAGAAGGGUUGGGGUCCGUCUGGAGACUGCAGUUACCAGGGUGCCAGCUCAGAGCCUGUCUCCAGGUACUCUGCCUGCCGUGGAAUUUGACGAGAACAGUCCGCGAUGCAUUAAGUACGAUUUACUGCUCAUCAUCCCACAACUGGAGAAAACCAAAGGGGAUUCCCGCAAGCAUGCGGAAUUUAUCCUGACGCUGACCAACUGGAGAACAUGCUUUCCCAAAAAUAGCCUAGAGAGUGGCAGCUCUCGUCACCAACAGGAGAAAGUUCUGCAGGAGGGAAGAGCGUCAUUCAGACGAGGAGGACUCAAGGACAAAACCGGCACAUUCCGGUAAAGCCACAGCAGCAUCACAGAAACCACAGGCACGAUGGGAGCUUCUUCCUUCUUCCCAAGAUGCGUGCCAGAAGGCCCCCUGUGCCGUCAGGUUUGCAGGACGAAAAGCACAAAUUUACAAGCGGAGGCACUGGCCUGGGCUGCAAUCAUGACUAGAACCUUCUGUGCCCAGGAACACGCUCAGGUGACAAAAGUGUCUGACACUUAGAAUGUUAAAGCUUGAGGGGCCCUAGCAAUAUUCCCAUUCCAUGUAUGAGGACACUGAGGCCCAGAGAGGAAGCCAAUUGCCCAAAGCCACUGGGUCACACUCAGCAGGGAGGUGGGAAACAGGACAAAGACAGUGGUGGUGAGGGCAGGGGCUUCGCAAUCAGAUGGACCUGGGUCUGAGAUCUCCCAUUUCUUUCAUUCAUUCGUUCAUUCCCUCACUCACUUGACAUCCAUUUACCGAGUGCCUUCUCUGUGCCAGGCUCUGUUCUAGGUUUCAGGGAUAGAGCAGUGAACAAAAUAAGCAAAAUGUUUCCCUUCGUGGAGUUUAUAUUUCCUGUGGAAGGGCCAGAUACUAAAGAAAGAAACAAACAUAUAAAGGCCAGUGGUGAUACGUGACAUAAAGACAAAUAACAUGGGGUGGGGGAGGGGGUGUUGCAAACUGAAGGGCUGUUAUUUUAUGGUCCAGAAAGGCAUCCCCGAGGAGGGGACAUUCAAGCAGAGGCACUCAGGAAACAGAUGUCGAGUGAGUGAGUGAAUGAAUAAAUGGAAACGCUCAACCCCUGGCCUGCCUGUCUUCAAAGCCGCUGUCCUCCACCACCACAACCGACUGUAAGGACUCUGGCUGGUGCUCUGAGAGAGGUGGGCAGCCACUUCGCUUUAAUUAUGCAGGCGUCAGGCCUCUGGGGGGGGUGGUGCAGAGGGUCUACAUAAUGACAGCUGUCCCCUCCAAGGGAGGGCUGCCCUGGGGACUCAAUGAGCAGACACAUCCAAAGUGCCCAGCACAGGGCCUGGCACCAGGAAGGACCCUGCUCCUGGGAAGCCCUGCAUUGUUUGCUUUUUUGUUUUUUGUUUUUCAUUUAAAAAUAUGUAACCCCCCCCCUCCAUUUAUGUUUGGUCACAUAAAUGCCAAAAGCCAGAGUCGGUUUGUGGCAGAAGUGGGGUGGAGAUGGAGAGAAGUGUUUUCCAACACCACCACCUCAGAAAUGUCGGUUUUUGUUACCAAGAGCUGGUACCACCCUGAGGCUGCUGGGACAGCACCCCACAAAGCCCAGCCCACCCACCUCACCUGGUGUCAAAGAGAAGCAGGUAAAGGCCUGGUCUUGGGUCUAAAGAUCAGCAACAUUAUUACUAAUAAAAAACAUGGCCUCGCAGUAAAGUCUAGCAAUAUUAUUAGUCACGCUGUAGCUCAUAUGUGUUAUCGUUUGAAAUCACUUGCAAACAUUUUGUACUCCGUCUCCUGGCACGGGAUGGGGUGGUGACACUGCUCAGAAGCCAGACUGCACGGGUUCGAAUCCCAGCUCCCUGCUUACCCGCUGCCUGGCCUCGCAGGUUUCUUAAGGCCACAGAGCUGCAUCUCCUCAGCCGUCAAAGGAGGACAGCAGUUCCCACCUCACAACGUUGUGGACAGAACAGGUCGCACAGGUCUCAGAACCACGCAGGAGCCCAGCAAGUGCUCAUAAAUGUUGCUUCUCCUUGUCAUCUCACUGGAUUCACAGCCAGCCCGGGAAGCGGGUGAGGCAGCUGCGCCCCAGGGCAGGACAGCACCUGACUCACAUCACAUGGCUGGCAGUCCCAAGUCUCCUCGCGCCUCCGCUGCCUCCAUGGUUUAAAGAGGACACAGCACCAGUGGUAUGGAUCAUCCUUUCCCGCAACCCCCAGUUCCCUUGGAGCCCCUGGACUGGUGAAAGGUCAGCUUGCAGACCAGGGCGUGGGAACCCAGCGUGUACCCAGCCAACAACCCUGACGCAUUACCUGGGACGAGCAGCAGGGUCAGAGAAGGAUCCAGGAGGGGCAGAUUCCUCUCUACCCCUGACUUUACAGGGCUUGGAGCCAGCCGUGAUCCAGGUAUCAGGAGGCCAGCCAGGUGCUGGUCCCGACCACCCACCAACCAACCAUGCAAGCUGGCACCAUUGCCCUGACCUCUCUAGGCCUCAGUUUCCCCGUGUGUAAAAUGGGUUGGUCUUCGUGAUCUCCGAGGCCCUACCACCUCUGCCAGUUGAGAGCUCAGUGGGGUGUCGUGGGGACGCUGUGACAGCCAGCUAGCCGUACUCCAAUUUUGCCCCUGCUCAGGAGCUGGGGUAGGCUGUGAAGCUGAUUCCAGGAGCAGCGCUUCAGAUGAUGGAGCUCUGAGGCACUGAAGGGCCUCAAUUACUCAAAGCACAAUGCAGGGGGGGGCUCGAGAGUUGAGAGAGCCCUUGGGGCCAGACCUGUCACUUAGCAACAGAUGCAGCCUGCAGCUCAGAAGCUCGCAUGAGAAAAGCAGCACCAGGGAGUGAAGCUCCUUAAAAAGAAAAAAAAAAAUUGUGCGACUAGGAGGCAGACAGGUAAAAAUACCCCCUGCCGGAGGGCUGACGGCUCCACCACAAGUUUCAAAGCAUGGCACUCGGCCAUCACCUCAGGGGUGAGGGGAGGCCGCUCACCCUGUGACUGGGGCCAGGCCCCGCCCCGCCGCUCCAAGCAUCCCGAGGUGGGGGCCUUCUGGAACGCGGUGUCCAGUCGGCCCCCUGAGCACCCGCCUCUUGGGGUCACAGUCUCUCCCGUUCGGGAGGGUUGUACCAAGGUAACUCCGGGGACGAACCCCAGGGAAUCACUUCUUUUCCAAGACAGACCCCCCGGGGGGACUGGGUGGUGAGGCCACCAUCUUUGGGAAAGCAGGCGGCAGAGAUGACGACAGACCCCCCCAACCCAGGGCCCUGCUUCCCUCAGCCCCCCGGGGAGAGCCGUAUCUUACCACUGUUGGGUCUCACGGCUCUGGGGACAGUACUGCACAUUCUUAAAUGCAAACCUCUACAACGGAGAGCUGGGAAGAGCCCCCAGGAGCGGGGAGCAGUGGGAGGACACCCAGUGGCCCCAGCCAUAACGCCAGGGUCCAACUAACUCUAGGCUGAUCAGAGGUAAGAAGGAAGCAAGGUCGGGGUCUCUCUGUCUCUCACACAACUAGACAGCUUCCUGAUCUCCAUGUGACGAGCCUGGUGGCCCAAACAAUUCUCCUAAUUACCUCGGAGCCUCUGGGCUUCAGCUGAGCCUAAAGCAGGUCGACUGUUAUCAGAAAUACAAAUUGUCCUACAAAUUAUUUUUAAUUGUUUUAUUGAAACCUCCUGGCAGUCACCUGGGGCAAACUGCUCCUGACAGGCCUUGGUGAUGGCUGCUCUCCUGGUUUUUCUUGGCCAGCACCAUUUGGACCUUUCCCUCCCUCCCCCUCCAUGCCGAGGGCACAGAGCCCCGUCAGUAUGUUUGAGCCCGUCCUCUCUCCCACCCCCUGUGCUCUGGUUCAGCCCUUCUCUCAGUUCGAUGCCUGCAGCAGGCUCACUGUCCUCUGGGCCUUCAAAGGCGGCUUCCUGAAAUACCACAUCACCCCACUCCCACGGGAGAGAGCCCACGGCCCUUGCCAGAGACAUUUGCCACUUCUCCAUUCCCCAGCCUCAGCUGCCACUUCUCCGCCGGGCCCCUGUGCAGAAAACCCUCCCCGGUGUCUGCCUCCUGAAGCUUCCCUUGAAGGGAACCACACUUACUCCCAUUUUACAGAUGAAGAACCAAAGGCUCAGAGGGGUUAGCUAUACUUUCACUGAAUGACCUUGAAGGUGCAGCUCAAGAUCCACCUCGCCUCUGUGGCACGUUCUGUGAUGCUGUAAGUGAGAAGUAAUGCUCCUUUCUUUCCCCUCUCGGCACGCAACCUGUAAUACUCUUCCACGCUUUGACUAUUUGGCUUUCUAGUAUAACUCCUUGUGCACACCCCCGAUUCAUCCUCUAAACAGGGAGCUCCCUGAAGGCAGGAACCAAAGCAUAUCCAGCUUUGCGUCCACCCGCAACUGCCCCCAGCCCAGCCGGUGCCUGGCACACACAGGGCGGAAGAGGACGCCUGCAGAUGUUCCAGGGCUCCUGCCACCCCACCCUCUAAGAGCAACCUGCUUCCUAGGUUGAAAUCCUAACCACUGCCUUCACCUUUGAAACAGCAGCAAGGACAAAAAGCUAACACACUUGACUGAGUCACAUUUAAACCUACUAGAUGCCUGCGUGCCCCAGCCAUGGGAGCGGGGGGCUGGGGGGACGUGGGGGGGUUAUGAAUGAAGUGCAGCCCAGAAGCCCAUGUGGGGAGGACCCUGGGACUUGGAAUCCAGCUUUCUGUUCUGUAAUCAUCUGUACAAUAGGGAACAGUGCUUACCUACCAACUGCAUCUGGUUACCACAUGGAUAGCAAGAGAAAGAGAAGAUUCCUGGGAAGUCAAAUAAACAGAACAGGAAUUUCUGACUCCAUUUCACAGAUUUGUUGUAGACCAAAUCCUCAUGUAUUACUAUUGUACGUGCUCAGUGAAUGUGAUAUGAAGGAAGUGAAUGAGUGCAUGAAUGACAGGUGCAUUCUGAAUUCCCCCAGUUUUCCAGAACCUGACAUAAUUCCCCAGCUUCAAAACUUUCCUAUUUUCUGGUGCAAUAUUCCCAUCCCAAAACACACAGUGUCCCAAAGACGCCCCAUGUGGCAGUGUAAAGCAAAGGUAAGCUAAGAAGUCUGGCCGUCAUUCGCUGACUUUCUGCCUCUUCUAAAGGAUCCACUAUUUGUGCCUCACUCUCUCCACUUUGUAGACAGGGUCUGCCUUCACCUUAGAGAGGUACACACCGGAUGGGCACCGUCUCGGCACGGAGUGUUCCACGAGGCUGGUGGGACCAUUGCAAACAGCAGCUCAGGCAGAGGAGCCAGUAGAACCUUCUGUGGCCCGUCUCACCUUCCUGUUACAUUUGCCGAGCGUGCUGUCUGCAGUUGGUAUUUUGUUUUCUUAGUCAAGGAGGAAGGGAAGCAGGAAAAGGGGCAGAUGGUCCAGAGGGGGAGGAACUGGCACUGGAAUAUGUGGGUGGGGCCAGUGCAAACAAAAUCUUUUGGUUCAGUUUUACCAUUUCAUGGGAGGGGGAAAGGCAUGCCUAGUCGCUGUGGAAGCAAGAGCAGUGCCAUGACCACCCCACAGAUGCAUUAACCUUGUGCCAGAACUUAGGCGCUAAGGGAACUUCUGAAGGCGGUGGGGGGGUGUCAUCAUUAGCAGCAGCAGCAGCAGCAGCAGCAGCAGCAACAACAAACAACAACACAGGGAUCCUUCUUGAGGGCUGGCUCUGUAGCAGCCACUGUGUGGAGCGGCCAUUAUCUCCUUAAACCCUGCCCAUAACCGUAUGAGUUUGGCACCACACUUACUGCUAUCUUACAGAUGAAGAAGUAGAGGCUCAGCGGGACUGGUUGCUGAUUUCAUUGAACCGCUGGCCCUGCGAUGCUGGUGCUUUCUUGAACUUACCAGAGAGGCUCAAUGGAAGGUUUUCACCCAACCAGGUCACCACUGCCACCUGAUCAACAGCCAUUUUGAGAUGCCACUGACUGUACAUUGUGUCCUGAAAUGAAGAUGUGAUGGUGUGCCAAAAAAAAAAAAAAUGCAUCUUG